rnacentral:tRNA from 1 species
ACUCAAGAAAUGAAUUUUCAUGUAUGGUUUCGACCCAUAAUUAGGUAUUUCUUACCCUUGUUUC